AAAAAACAAAUAAAAAAAAUAAAAAAUAAUAAUAAAAAAAAUAAAAAAAUAAAACCACCUUGGAUUUGCUGUGCGCACAUGCGAUUUCACCCAACUUUUCAAAAAUAAUAAUAUAAUAAUAAAUAGGUGCAGAAAAAGUGGUUUAAAUUUUUUUUUCUUUUUCUUUUCUUUCUUUUUUUAACUUUUCCUCUUUUAACUUUAUCACCCAGCCUUAAUUCUUUUUACCCUAGCCACCCCAUCUCUUUCACUUACCGCAAAGCGAACGUAGCAUCAUCUUCCUCUCCCAAUCUUUCCAUUUUUCCUCCAUUGCCACCAUUCUCAAGCACACUUGCAAAGAUUCUGUGUGCUUCCUUCUCUGUUUUACACUUCUCUGUUUCAUCUCUUCAACUGUUCUCUUUACCAGGUUUGUUUUUCUUUUUAAAUUUUUUUUUUAGUUUGUUCAUAUGUUGAGAUUAGGUUGUUGUUCCA
rnacentral:lncRNA from 1 species